rnacentral:rRNA from 1 species
AGAGUUUGAUCAUGGCUCAGGAUGAACGCUAGCGGCAGGCUUAACACAUGCAAGUCGAGGGGUAUUGGUUUUCGGACCAAGAGACCGGCGCACGGGUGCGUAACGCGUAUGCAAUCUACCUUUUGCAGAGGGAUAGCCCAGAGAAAUUUGGAUUAAUACCUCAUAGUAUAGUACCUUGGCAUCAAGGAACUAUUAAAGUCACAACGGCAAAAGAUGAGCAUGCGUCCCAUUAGCUAGUUGGUAAGGUAACGGCUUACCAAGGCUACGAUGGGUAGGGGUCCUGAGAGGGAGAUCCCCCACACUGGUACUGAGACACGGACCAGACUCCUACGGGAGGCAGCAGUGAGGAAUAUUGGACAAUGGGCGCAAGCCUGAUCCAGCCAUGCCGCGUGCAGGAUGACGGUCCUAUGGAUUGUAAACUGCUUUUAUACAGGAAGAAACACUCCGACGUGUCGGAGCUUGACGGUACUGUAAGAAUAAGGAUCGGCUAACUCCGUGCCAGCAGCCGCGGUAAUACGGAGGAUCCAAGCGUUAUCCGGAAUCAUUGGGUUUAAAGGGUCCGUAGGCGGUUUGGUAAGUCAGUGGUGAAAGCCCAUCGCUCAACGGUGGAACGGCCAUUGAUACUGCCAGACUUGAAUUACUGGGAAGUAACUAGAAUAUGUAGUGUAGCGGUGAAAUGCUUAGAGAUUACAUGGAAUACCAAUUGCGAAGGCAGGUUACUACCAGUGGAUUGACGCUGAUGGACGAAAGCGUGGGUAGCGAACAGGAUUAGAUACCCUGGUAGUCCACGCCGUAAACGAUGGAUACUAGCUGUUGGAGGUAACUU